CUGAAACUCCAGCUCUGGGUUUCGUUCCAGCACAAUUGACACCACCAUCAACAGCUGCAUUCAGGUCAUCAAAGACACAAACACAGGGUCAAACAGCAGGAAUCUACAGCAACACACAGAUGGUGGGCAUCCUGCACCUGCCAGUCUGCUGAGGUUGGAGGACAUCCAGCAGGAGCUGUUUGACAUCACUAGGGGACAUCUGGUAGAUGUCCUGAGGUGGCAUGUCCCCAGCACGAAUCUUCAACUCAUGCUUCAUGGCUUGAACAAUCCAUCUAAUUGAAAAACAGACAUGAUAAAUAAAGUUUGUAGGAGAGGUGAUGGCAUACCCCACACGGAUCUUCAGCAUGCCACUGAACAGCUCUGGGUUGUUAGAGAUGAUCCAGCCGAUGUGGAUGACGAGCUCCUGCUGCAGUACGGCCUCUCGCUCGCCGUGUGGGCUGCACUUGC